rnacentral:lncRNA from 1 species
UGUAUGAGUACUGCGGUGAACUGCUGAGGAAUAACCCACGGUCCUCACAGGAGUCGCCGGGCGGGUCAUCGAGUGCCUCCAUUUGUUGGGUAAACCUGCUGUGGCACGGAGUCCCGAGCAGCGCCGCCCCCCCCAAACACCGACGGCUCCGGACCUUUCACCUCUGACCUUUCAGGGCCGUGCGGCUCCGGCGAGGCGUCACACGAGGUGCCUUUCAUUCGGAACUGGCGCUCGGCACAAUCUCGAACCCGCGCUGCUGACUGCAGGAAAGAAGCGUGAAGGGGACGGGGACGAGGAGCCGGAGGAGAUGGGAGGAGAGAGCAGUGAAAGUGCACUUUUGGUUACGCA